rnacentral:rRNA from 1 species
CCUACGGGAGGCAGCAGUGAGGAAUAUUGGUCAAUGGACGCAAGUCUGAACCAGCCAUGCCGCGUGCAGGAAGACGGCUCUAUGAGUUGUAAACUGCUUUUGUACGAGGGUAAACGCAGAUACGCGUAUCUGUCUGAAAGUAUCGUACGAAUAAGGAGCGGCUAACUCCGUGCCAGCAGCCGCGGUAAUACGGAGGAUUCAAGCGUUAUCCGGAUUUAUUGGGUUUAAAGGGUGCGUAGGCGGUCGGAUAAGCUAGAGGUGAAAUCCCGAGGCUCAACUUCGGAAUUGCCUGUGAUACUGUUCGGCGAGAGAGUAGUUGCGGUAGGCGGAAUGUAUGGUGUAGCGGUGAAAUGCUUAGAGAUCAUACAGAACACCGAUUGCGAAGGCAGCUUACCAAGCUACUUCUGACGUUGAGGCACGAAAGCGUGGGGAGCAAACAGGAUUAGAUACCCGUGUAGUC